GACGAACGCUGGCGGCGCGCUUAACACAUGCAAGUCGAGCGACGAAAGGUCCUUUCGGGACCCUGGAAGCGGCGAACGGGUGAGUAACACGUGGGUAACCCACCCUCGGUUUCGGGAUAGCCCGGGGAAACCCGGAUUAAUACCGAAUAGCCUCUCCGGUCUUCGGGCUGGUGAGAAAAGGUAGCUUCGGCCUCCGACCGAGGACGGGCCCGCGGCCGAUUAGCUUGUUGGUGAGGUAACGGCUCACCAAGGCGACGAUCGGUAGCUGGCUGAGAGGACGAUCAGCCACACUGGGACUGAGACACGGCCCAGACUCCUACGGGAGGCAGCAGGUGGGGAAUCUUGCGCAAUGGGCGAAAGCCUGACGCAGCGACGCCGCGUGCGGGAAGAAGG
rnacentral:rRNA from 1 species